UGAUAACGCGUGGGAACGUACUUUCGCUUCGGAAUAUUCCCGGGAAACUGGGAGCAUGCCGAAUACGCCGUAUUGGGAAAGAUUUAUCGGCGAAAGAUCGGCCCGCGUUAGAUUAGCUAGUGGCGGUGUAAUGGACCACCAAGGCUACGAUCUAUAGCUGGUCUGAGAGGAUGAUCAGCCACACUGGAACUGAAACACGGUCCAGACUCCUACGGGAGGCAGCAGUGGGGAAUAUUGGACAAUGGGCGCAAGCCUGAUCCACCAUACCGCGUGGGUGAAGAAGGCCUUCGGGUUGUAAAGCCCUUUUGUUGGGAAAGAAAUCCAGCCGGCUAAUACCUGGUUGGGAUGACGGUACCCAAAGAAUAAGCACCGGCUAACUUCGUGCCAGCAGCCGCGGUAAUACGAAGGGUGCAAGCGUCACUCGGAAUUACUGGGCGUAAAGCGUGCGUAGUGGUCGUUUAAGUCCGUUGUGAAAGCCCUGGGCUCAACCUGGGAACUGCAGUGGAUACUGGACGACUAGAGUGUGGUAGAGGGUAGCGGAAUUCCUGGUGUAGCAGUGAAAUGCGUAGAGAUCAGGAGGAACAUCCAUGGCGAAGGCAG
rnacentral:rRNA from 1 species